UGAAAAUUUAAUUGUGCAAUUCAGUUUAAUUUGAUAACAAUUUUCUUACUUAUUUUAUUUUUUUUGUUAAGAGAAU
rnacentral:tRNA from 1 species